AGUGAACGCUGGCGGUAGGCCUAACACAUGCGAGUCGAACGGCAGCACAGUAAGAGCUUGCUCUUACGGGUGGCGAGUGGCGGACGGGUGAGGAAUACAUCGGAAUCUACUUUUUCGUGGGGGAUAACGUAGGGAAACUUACGCUAAUACCGCAUACGACCUACGGGUGAAAGCAGGGGAUCUUCGGACCUUGCGCGAUUGAAUGAGCCGAUGUCGGAUUAGCUAGUUGGCGGGGUAAAGGCCCACCAAGGCGACGAUCCGUAGCUGGUCUGAGAGGAUGAUCAGGGAGACGGGAGAUGAGAAAAGGGUAAGACGGAGAAGGGAGUCAGCCGGAGGGACUGUGGGAGAAUGGGCGUAGGCCUGAUUGAGCCACCCCGCGGGGGUGAAGAAGGACCAGGGGUUUUAAACCCCUUUUGUCAGGAAAUAAAAAAAGAAGAAGAACCCGCUGACUUCGUGACGGCACCCGAAGAAAAAGAAACGGCUAAUUUAGUG
rnacentral:rRNA from 1 species